rnacentral:rRNA from 1 species
AGUGAACGCUGGCGGUAGGCCUAACACAUGCAAGUCGAACGGCAGCACAGUAAGAGCUUGCUCUUACGGGUGGCGAGUGGCGGACGGGUGAGGAAUACAUCGGAAUCUACUUUUUCGUGGGGGAUAACGUAGGGAAACUUACGCUAAUACCGCAUACGACCUACGGGUGAAAGCAGGGGAUAUUCGGACCUUGCGCGAUUGAAUGAGCCGAUGUCGGAUUAGCUAGUUGGCGGGGUAAAGGCCCACCAAGGCGACGAUCCGUAGCUGGUCGGAGAGGAUGAUCGGCCGCACUGGAACUUGAACACGGUCCAGACUCCUACGGGAGGCAGCAGUGGGGAAUAUUGGGCAAUAGGCGCAAGCCUGAUCCAGCCAUACCGCGUGGGUGAAGAAGGCCUUCGGGUUGUAAAGCCCUUUUGUUGGGAAAGAAAAGCAGCAGGUUAAUACCCCGCUGUUCUGACGGUACCCAAAGAAUAAGCACCGGCUAACUUCGUG